rnacentral:misc_RNA from 1 species
GACACAUUGUGCAUUUAUUGUGAAACUGAAAAAGUCAUUUGAUUAUCUCUAUAUUUGCCUGUUCAGUUAGUUGUUUUCUUUUAGGGUUACUUUCCCCUUCUCUACAUCUUGAAGAAUAUAUGGCUUUAUAUCUAUGUAGUGGGUUAUUUUUCUUCUAAAUAUUGUUGUUUUCAUGAGAUUUAAAAUAAAAAAACGGUUAGAAAAAUAAAAUGGAACAGAAAGGGAUGAAGUUGUUGGCUGCUGUGUGCCUAUAAUAUUUGGGGAAAGAAAUGCAGUCAGCUGAUUAAAAGAACCACAAUGAAGCAUGUU